UUCCGUAGGUGAACUUGCGGAGGGAUCAUUACA
rnacentral:rRNA from 1 species